rnacentral:rRNA from 1 species
CAAGUCGAGCGGACAGAAGGGAGCUUGCUCCCGGAUGUUAGCGGCGGACGGGUGAGUAACACGUGGGUAACCUGCCUGUAAGACUGGGAUAACUCCGGGAAACCGGAGCUAAUACCGGAUAGUUCCUUGAACCGCAUGGUUCAAGGAUGAAAGACGGUUUCGGCUGUCACUUACAGAUGGACCCGCGGCGCAUUAGCUAGUUGGUGAGGUAACGGCUCACCAAGGCGACGAUGCGUAGCCGACCUGAGAGGGUGAUCGGCCACACUGGGACUGAGACACGGCCCAGACUCCUACGGGAGGCAGCAGUAGGGAAUCUUCCGCAAUGGACGAAAGUCUGACGGAGCAACGCCGCGUGAGUGAUGAAGGUUUUCGGAUCGUAAAGCUCUGUUGUUAGGGAAGAACAAGUGCAAGAGUAACUGCUUGCACCUUGACGGUACCUAACCAGAAAGCCACGGCUAACUACGUGCCAGCAGCCGCGGUAAUACGUAGGUGGCAAGCGUUGUCCGGAAUUAUUGGGCGUAAAGGGCUCGCAGGCGGUUUCUUAAGUCUGAUGUGAAAGCCCCCGGCUCAACCGGGGAGGGUCAUUGGAAACUGGGAAACUUGAGUGCAGAAGAGGAGAGUGGAAUUCCACGUGUAGCGGUGAAAUGCGUAGAGAUGUGGAGGAACACCAGUGGCGAAGGCGACUCUCUGGUCUGUAACUGACGCUGAGGAGCGAAAGCGUGGGGAGCGAACAGGAUUAGAUACCCUGGUAGUCCACGCCGUAAACGAUGAGUGCUAAGUGGUUAGGGGGUUUCCGCCCCUUAGUGCUGCAGCUAACGCAUUAAGCACUCCGCCUGGGGAGUACGGUCGCAAGACUGAAACUCAAAGGAAUUGACGGGGGCCCCCACAAGCGGUGGAACAUGUGGGUUAAUUCGAAGCAACGCGAAGAACCUUACCAGGGCUUGACAUCCUCUGACAACCCUAAAAGAAGGGCUUUCCCUU